AUUUGACCUUCCUGGCAUGGAAAAUACACGUGUCAUAUUGUAGCCUCCUUUCUGACUGGACUUUAUAUCAGAAUUAAUAUCAGAAUUAGUCAGCACUCCUUCCUCGGUGGGUAGGUGCGCAUGGGCAGAGCAAGAGAGACCAAAAGGACUAGAUAAUCGGAAGCCAGGGUUUGGGAAUGGCAGUGACAGCUGUGCCAUGUACGUGCUGAUUUUCUACCUAAAAGGAGACUGAGAAGUAGGGCAUUGGAGAGCUGAAGGUGGAAAUUUAGAAUGCUUGGAGUUUAGGAAGGAUAAGGGGUAGCUCAUGUUGCAUUGUACCCCAAGCAGCAUGCGCUUGUCAGCUUCCUCAGGCAGAACUGGGG
rnacentral:lncRNA from 1 species